rfam:Geobacillus sp. Y4.1MC1, complete genome.
GCGGGUGUGGCGGAAUUGGCAGACGCACCAGACUUAGGAUCUGGCGCCUUACGGCGUGGGGGUUCAAGUCCCUCCACCCGCA